UAGUUGGUCAUAUUCUCAGCUACUGUUUCCUUGCAUAAAAUGUACUGUCUUGAUCAGAUAAAUGUCAUGUAUAGGUAGUCGUGUGUGAGUAGGUAGCUUGUUUGUUCGAGAUAAAGUAGUUGAACAUGUUUUCUGGUGAGAUAAACUGCUUGACCCGUUUACCGGGAACGUCGCGUGCGCGGCGGCCCUCCACCAACUGAGGCGCGGUGGCCCCUCCAACUCCAGGCGCGGUGGUCACGUGUUCCCCGGCCCCUCCACCUCCCGAGGCAAGGGGACUGUACCGGUGUUGGGCAGGUAUCCGCUACAACUGCUCCGGCAGCUCGCACUCGCGUCUCCUCCCCUCCAGGCGCCGUUCUACGCCCUUCUCCUAGGGUGCCGGCGACACGGGAUGAGCGGCACGGGCGCGUGUCGGCACGAGACGGCGCCGGCGGCGUAGCUUCGGUGCGUGGCUGCGCCGGCGGCGGGGCAGGUAUCCGCUACAGCUGCUCCGGCAGCUCGCACUCGCGUCUCCUCCCCUCCAGGCGCCGUUCUACCUCCUUCUCCUAGGGCGCCGGCGGUACGGGACGAGCGGCACGGCCGCGGGUCGGUGCGAGGCAGUACCGGCGGCGUCGGUUCGGGGCGUGGCCAAGCCGGCGGCGAAGGGAUCGGGCACGGCGGCGGUUCGGUACGAGGGCGCGGCGCGAAGGAACGCGAUCAGCGGCCGGCGGCGGGAGGGACCGCGGUCAGCGGUAGACGCGGCGAGCGGCAGGUCGGCCAGUUGUAGGCGUAGCACCCGUACCCACCCACCACCCGACCACCGUACACACACGCACCCACCUACACUUAGAACACGCACAUACUCUCCUAUUCCCUCUGUACGUUGUGCACCCACCCACACCUG
rnacentral:rRNA from 1 species